rnacentral:lncRNA from 1 species
CUGUUCAUGUGCUUGUUGCUGCUGGCUCUUUAUUCAUUCCCACUCAUAGUGCCCUGCUGCUGUGUGUGUUCUGUCAUUUUUGAGUGUCAGGGGCAGCGCCACUCUCAGGGGCAAAAGGUCCAUCCAGUUCUCCUCCUGAAGACACAGUUCCUUUCUCAGGAGACGCGAAGGAGGGCAGCAUCUCCUUUUCCUCGGCUGUGGGGAGAAUGCAUUGAGGCAAAUGGCAACAGCGCUAGAACAGAGCCUGCCACUCGGUAAACGUCCCGUAAAUGCCAGCCAGUGCUGUCAGAGCUGCGUAAUCUGGAG